UACGAAGGGGGCUAGCGUUGCUCGGAAUUACUGGGCGUAAAGGGCGCGUAGGCGGAUAGUUUAGUCAGAGGUAAAAGCCCAGGGCUCAACUCCGGAACUGCCAUUGAAACUGUUUAGCUUGAGGAUGAGAGAGGUGAGUGGAAUUCCCAGUGUAGAGGUGAAAUUCGUAGAUAUUGGGAAGAACACCGGUGGCGAAGGCGGCUCACUGGCUCAUUACUGACGCUCAGGCGCGAUAGCGUGGGGAUCAAACAGG
rnacentral:rRNA from 1 species